rnacentral:rRNA from 1 species
AUUGAACGCUGGCGGCAGGCCUAACACAUGCAAGUCGAGCGGAUGAAGGGAGCUUGCUCCUGGAUUCAGCGGCGGACGGGUGAGUAAUGCCUAGGAAUCUGCCUGGUAGUGGGGGAUAACGUCCGGAAACGGGCGCUAAUACCGCAUACGUCCUGAGGGAGAAAGUGGGGGAUCUUCGGACCUCACGCUAUCAGAUGAGCCUAGGUCGGAUUAGCUAGUUGGUGGGGUAAAGGCCUACCAAGGCGACGAUCCGUAACUGGUCUGAGAGGAUGAUCAGUCACACUGGAACUGAGACACGGUCCAGACUCCUACGGGAGGCAGCAGUGGUGAAUAUUGGACAAUGGGCGAAAGCCUGAUCCAGCCAUGCCGCGUGUGUGAAGAAGGUCUUCGGAUUGUAAAGCACUUUAAGUUGGGAGGAAGGGCAGUAAGUUAAUACCUUGCUGUUUUGAUGUUACCAACAGAAUAAGCACCGGCUAACUUCGUG